CUUUUUGAGUUAUAAAGCCGAAAAGGAGUCAGAAGAAAAGAAAAAGAAUAAUAAUAAUAACUAGAGCAAAGCUCGUUGCAAAGCAACGAGUGGGUCUUCCGUUCAUGUCGGAAGUAAAGCUGGAAGUUCCUGUAAGAAGCAGAGCUCUUAAACUAAUAACAAGAUUAACUAAAAUAAAAAGAUGAAAAAAGUCGAAAAAUUCCUGGUACGACUUAACAAAAUUCGAAUUAUUUUAAAUACGAAUUAACAAAAACCUUUCUGAUUUCAAGAACAACUUAACAAAAAGAAAUCCGAAUGUGUUCAAGUACGACUUAACAAUUAUUUCUGGUACGAGUUAAUUUUACUUUCAACAUUACGCUAUUUUUUAAACCAAGGACGCGGAAUAAAAAUUUCCGGAAAAAUCAAUUUUUAAACCCCGAUAUCUCUAUAAUGCAUCGUCCGAUUUUAAAACGGCUUUCAGUGUUAGAUUCAGCUUAAUAAGCUCUACAAAACACAUAUUCAUUUUUGAUUUGAUCAGAAAAUUCAUUUUUUCGAAAAAUUUAUUUCACUUCCGGUUUUGACCGGAAAUGACAGAUUUUAAUUUCGAGCCUUAUUACAGAGGUAAAUCGACCAAAUCAUAAGCAUUGAAAAUUUCAAGCCUCUAUCUUAAAGCGUUUUUGAGAAACGCCGCGGACAAAAUGACUUUUUGAAAAUUUUAAAAAUGACGUCACGUUAAAACGGAAGUGACGUUUUCAACGAAACUUCAUUGACUUUGAGGUAUUAUAAUUGCACAUAAUCUCUGAAAGUUUCAUAAAAAUCGGUUGUAAACUUUUUGAGUUAUAAAGCCGAAAAGGAGUCAGAAAAAAAAUUAAAAAGAAUAAUAAUAACUAGAGCAAAGCUCGUUGCAAAGCAACGAGUGGGUCUUCCGUUAAUGUCCGAAGUAAAGCUGGGAGUUCCUGUAAGAAGCAGAGCACUUAAACCAAUAACUAGAGUAACU
rnacentral:sRNA from 1 species